GUGGGGAAUCUUGCACAAUGGAGGAAACUCUGAUGCAGCGACGCCGCGUGAGCGAUGAAGCCCUUCGGGGUGUAAAGCUCUUUCGACGGGAACGAUAAUGACGGUACCCGGAGAAGAAGCUGCGGCUAACUACGUGCCAGCAGCCGCGGUAAUACGUAGGCAGCGAGCGUUGUUCGGAAUUACUGGGCGUAAAGAGUGUGUAGGUGGUGCUCUAAGUCUGUCGUGAAAUCUCCCGGCUUAACCGGGAGGGUGCGGCGGAAACUAGAAUGCUUGAGGAUGGGAGAGGAAAGCGGAAUUCCUGGUGUAGCGGUGAAAUGCGUAGAUAUCAGGAGGAACACCCGUGGUGUAGACAGCUUUCUGGACCAUAUCUGACACUGAGACACGAAAGCGUGGGUAGCAAACAGGAUUAGAUACCCUGGUAGUCC
rnacentral:rRNA from 1 species